rnacentral:lncRNA from 1 species
UAACUAAUGUGCGACCUCCGUAUAGUCCUAUAUAUAAGAUAUUUAAUAGAGCUAGAACUCUUAAUUUAGUUUAAACAUUUUGGGUGGUGGCUAGAUUCAAGAGGUUAAAAGAGUUAAGCGUGUUAGGACGGGAAUAGUCCUAGGAUGGGUGAUCCCCUGAGAAGCUGGGGCGUCACAGUUGGUAUCAGAGUCAAUUAUUAGCCGAAAUUGUAAGAAGAGUUUCGACUAAGUCAGGGUCGGAAUGACAAGACUAGCGAGACGAAUCUCAUAAAUGGGAGAGAUUGUGAGACUCCAUAUAAUCCUAUAUAUAAAAGAUAAUAGGAAUAGAACUCUUAACCCGACUUAAACAUUUUGGGUGAUGGCUAAACCCAAGAAGUUAAAAGAGUUAAGUGUGUUAGGACGGGAGUAGUUCUAGAAUAAGUGACCCCCGGAGAAGUUGGAGCGUCACAUAACUCACACAAAUCUAA